GUGAGGAAUCUUCCGCAAUGGGCGAAAGCCUGACGGAGCAAUGCCGCGUGAAGGAUGAAGGCCUAUGGGUUGUAAACUUCUUUUCUCAGAAAAGAAUUAUGACGGUAUCUGAGGAAUAAGCAUCGGCUAACUCUGUGCCAGCAGCCGCGGUAAGACAGAGGAUGCAAGCGUUAUCCGGAAUGAUUGGGCGUAAAGCGUCUGUAGGUUGUUUAAAAAGUAUUCUGUCAAAGAUUAGGGCUUAACCCUAGAUAGGCAGAAUAAACUUUUAAGCUAGAGUUUGGUAGAGGCAGAGGGAAUUCCCGGUGGAGCGGUGAAAUGCGUAGAUAUCGGGAGGAACACCAAAGGCGAAGGCACUCUGCUGGGCCAAUACUAACACUGAGAGACGAAAGCGAGGGGAGCAAAUGGGAUUAGAAACCCCUGUAGUCC
rnacentral:rRNA from 1 species